rnacentral:misc_RNA from 1 species
ACUCCCUCUAAAUCUAAAUCAGUAAUUUACAGCCUAAUUUUGCACCCAAAACCUAUACCAGAUAAGAUAGAUACCAUACUUUCUAUAUGGCCAUUUCUACGCACUUUUGAUCAGAUAACGAAUUGAGCUAUAAGUCAACUAAAUUAAGUAAUAUUAUUAAUUUAGAUCAAAUUUUGAAUUCACUGACAAAGAUAGAUGGAUAGAUGAAAAGACAACCUCAAAAGCACUAAGUCCACAUUAUAACGACAAUAGCAAGGAGACAACUCUUUCUUUGUCAACAUUGUAACUCUUCUUGAUUAGACAAGGAAACAACGUCAACCAAAAUGAAGAAAAUUUGCAUAGGUAAAGCAA